CGGUUAAAGAGUUGGAAAUAAUGGAUGACGUAAUGAGGAGCAGCAUUCAUAAGAGAAUGCCUUCAAGUGUCCAAGGAGCCAGGACCAAGACGCAAGGCACAAGGCGCAAGGACUCAGGCAGAAGGCAUUGGGACUAUGGGCUAACUGCUCGCCGCAGCGGCAACUGUAAAAUUAAUUUGAAAUGUUGACUGGUGGCGCGUCUUGGGGCUGCUUGGGGCUGCUUUGGACUGCUUGGAUGGUUAAAAUCUUUUUCGGCUGCAAUGAAACUCUAAAAUGUGAAGAUCAAACAAGUAAAGGAAUUGAAAAUGGAUUGCUUAAAACUAUUA
rnacentral:sRNA from 1 species